rnacentral:misc_RNA from 1 species
GCUGGAGACAGACUAUUCAAAGGACAGCAUUCACCAUUCCAAUGGAAGAAAUGAUUCGCCGUCUUGGCAGUAGAUUUGAUUUGUCUCAGCUACAACAGCAGAAUUCUGAAGGUUCUCAUGAAUUACCUGAGCGAAGCAGCUCACUGCUCAACCGUAUUCUUACUUCCAGGGGACGCAGAGAACAGAAUCCUGUUCUGCCUUCU